UGUCCUCUCUGUUAAGUCAGAUGAACCUGAAUGACUUGUCCAUCCUGUUUCUGCUGUUCCUUAUAAACUGCACAUCUUCAGAAGGAGUUCUGGAAAACUUCUCAGAAGACAAAAGAACUAAAGGGAGGUCCACCAUCUAUCUGGAAAACACAAGAAGUGCCUGACCUAGAAGAAAAGCUAUUUACACAUCUGGAAAUCCCCUGGAAGAGCCAUUCAGAUGAGAGCACAGGACACAAGUGUCUCCAGGCUGGAGGAGCUUAUUGACUGGCAGACCAUUGCAGGAGAAAAAUUACCCUGAUACCUAUGCUUAGAAAGUGCCCGCAAAUUUGUAUCUUGGUCUCCUCAUCAGAAAUCUGGGGAAGCCAGCUAUGGUGUAGUGAGCCCUUGAGUAGCCCUAUGAAGAGGUAUGCAGGCUGAGGAACUGAGGCCUUCUGCCAAUAGCCAGCACUGACUUGUCAGCCGUGUGAACCAUAUGAGCCAUCAGGGAAGUGGAGCUCCCCACCCUGGUCCAGUCUUCAGAUGACUGCAGCCUCAGCAACGUCUUGACUUCACUCUCAUCAAACAUCCCAAGUCAACAAGCCACCCAGUUAAGUCACCCCUAAAUUACUGACCCAUGGAAACGGUGUGAGAUAAUAAAUGCCCAUUAUUAUUUUUAGCCAGCAAAUGGGGAAAUUUGUCAUACAACAAUAAAUAACUAUACAAGUGUCUAUCAGUUAAACCAUUAUGCCAAACUGCCACCAUGUAUGAAUUAAUUAUCCUGUGUAAGUGCAUAGACGUUAUAGUUUUAAACCAACAAAUGCAUAUAGUUUAGGGGGAGUGGAGAGGAAAAAGUAAAGGGAUGCUGAGGGAAUAAUCAUAGGAAGUAUGACUGAAUAUCAUAGUAUCAUAGGAUAUCUAUGUAUCAUAGUAUUGCAUAAUAUCAAGUAUCAUAGGAAGUAUGAUAGAGAAAAUAAAGAACAAAGAUACACCAGAAGGCCACAUGUCAUCUGUUCUUGUUCACUAAACCAUCUCUUCUAAAGUUACCAGCAACAUCUUCGAAUAAAUAGAUGCUGAAGGGAUUGAUUAGGAAAAUGAUUAUAAGUUCAACAUUAAUUAAUGGAAAGGUAUAAUCUGAAAUUGUUUCUCACAGGCAAUCUUUCCAGGAAGAAAAGAAUAUUUUCUGUGCUCUUAUCAGGAUUCAGGAAUUUGUUUUGACUCUUAAGAAUAUAUAUGCAGACUCUUAUGUUUUAUAUUCUUAAGCUCUUCAAGGCCAAGAAAGGACAUCCAGUCGUCCAUCUUAUCCCUAGGUCCAAAUGUUUUGCACCUUUUGCAAGGACCCGUCUUGCCUCCAGAUUCCAUAGGAUUCCUUUCCUGGCAACCUGAAAUGCAAGUUACCAACCUCUCUCAAGUUUUCAUCUUGAAGUAAUAAUGGGUUCUGGGAGUUUCCAUUUGCUUCAACAUCCAAAUUAAGUUUAGAUGCAUUAGACUUAAUGGAUUUAAAUAUCAUUUAUUAGAUAUACAUUUUUUUCAUUUUUUGUUUUGUUGUAUUGAUUUAUUUAUUUAGUCUUAGGCCAAUGUAGAACAAUUUAAUUCUGAGUUUAGAGCUUAAAAUAUGUGUAUGUACAUAUAUAGAGAGACACAUACACUAGCACACACACAGAUAUAAUGUAAAAUAAAUGAUAAAUGAAUAUACAAAUAUAAGAUAUAAAAAUAAAAUAAAAAAUUUAAGAUCACCUCUUUGCUGCCUAUAACAUAGUGUUCCUUCAGUCUGCUGAUUCAGACCUAUUAUUUAUGAAACAGUUUAGUUGGUUGUGAUCAACUUUCCUGAAAUUUAAGUAGAAAAGAGAGCAGGAGAAGAGGAGAAAGAGAAGGGAAGAGAGCAAAGUAAACUACAUUUUAAAGACAUAUUACUUCCUCAAAUUUUUGUUUCAGUUAAGGCACACACACAUGAGUAUGUGACUGUGAGUGUAUGAUGUAAAAUGUGUUUCCUAAUGUAGAUUAUGGUCAAAAAGAUUUUUUAAAAACUAAUAAACAUGAAAAUAAACUGAAAUCAUUAUUGUGUAGGUUACAAAGCACCCCAAAACUUAAUUGCUUAAAACACAGACAUUUCAUUUUGCCCAUGGAUUCUUCAGAUCAGGAAUUCAAAUAGAGCAGAGUAUUUAGCUUGUUUCUAUGUCUUAAUGGGGACUUCAGCUGAGAAGACUUGACCACUGGAAGCUGGAGUCAGCUAGAGACUCUUCUCACAUUUCUGGUCCUUGAAUUAGGACAGUUCAAAGACGAGGCCAGCUAAUCAGAGUGUACAAACAUUGUCUCCCCAUGCACCUUGCCCUUCUUACAGCAUGGUGGCCUCAGAUUCACCAAAAUUCUUAUGAGAUAGUCCAGAGAUUGAAGCCUGUGGGUUCCAGCAAAUAAGACAGAGAUGCAUUGCUUUUUAAGACCUGGCCUUGGAAGUUAUACAGCCUCAUAUCCUCCACACUCUAUUGGUGCAUGGUGUCACAAGUUUGCUCGGAUUCAAGGGUAUGACAAUAAGACUUGAUUGGGGAACAUCAAG